GACGAACGCUGGCGGCGUGCUUAACACAUGCAAGUCGAACGGAAAGGCCCUGCUCUUGUGGGGUGCUCGAGUGGCGAACGGGAGAGUAAAGCGAGAGUAACCUGCCCUUGACCUUGGGAUAACUUCAGGAAACUGGGGCUUAUAUCGGAUAGGAGCUCCUGCUGCAUUGUGGGGGUGGGACAGUUUCGGCGGUUGGGGAUGGACUUGCGGCUUAUCAGCUUGUUGGUGGGGUAGUGGCUUACCUAGGCUUGGACGGGUAGCCGGCCUGAGAGGGUUACCGGCAACAUUGGGACUGAGAUACGGCGCAGACUCCGAGGGGAGGGAGCAGUGGGGAAUAUUGCACAAUGGGGGGGAGGCGGAUGCGGCAACGCCGCGUGCGGGAUGACGGCCUUCGGGUUGUAAACCGCUUUCGCCUGUGACGAAGCGUGAGUGACGGUAAUGGGUAAAGAAGCACCGGCUAACUACGUG
rnacentral:rRNA from 1 species